CGCGGACCGACGCCCGCCCGGUGUCUACGCAGCUACGGCUGCACCGAGUGGUGGGAGCGCCUGGUGCGACCCAGAGAUGGGGAAACUGAAGCAUACAGAGGUUAACUGAAGAGCUGGAAGUGAAGGGUGGCUGCUGGAGGGGCUUCCAGGAGGGAGACCAUAAAGGACCCUGCAGGUGGUGCUACACGAGCAUUUGGGCCUGUUAUGGAUUCUCCAGUGUGGAUUCAAAAUAAAAAUCCAAAUGAAUGUAUAAUGGUCACCAAAAUGUGGUGAGGUGAUCUUUCAAAAGUUUGCUUUUUCUUAAAUGUGUGCACUUCCUGUGUACAAGUGUCUUCUCCUCUGAGGUCAGAAGAGGGCGGUGGAUCCCCUGGAACUGGAGUUACAGCCCGUUGUGAGCCACCUGAUGCUCUGGGAACUGAACUCAGGUCCUCUGUGAGAGCAGUGAAGUGCUCUUAAAUGACGAGCCAUCCCUCUAGCCUUGUUUCAAGUUUCAACUAAAUUCUUCAAGUAAUCAUCCACAGUCUGUCUUUCAUCUAACAGGUCGAUCUUCAUCCUGUUUCAAAGCCCCCAUAAAGACUGGAGGAGCAGGAAGACUGCUGCAAAUUCAAGGCCAGAAUAGUUUAUAUAGUUCCGGAAGGCCAGGACUGGCUUCAUAGCGACAUAGUUAGACCUCGUCUCAAAACAAACAGAGCAAGGAGGAGGAGGACAAGGAUGGAAAGAAGGAAAAAAAAGGGGGGGGGAAAUGUUGGACUUCUCAGGACGAUGCUGCCAAGGAGCCUUUAAAACUGCCACACUGAGGGUUGACCAUCUGGGAACUUGGUCAUUUCAAAGGCAGAAUGAAAGCUGUACCCCCAGAGGAGCCGGUGGUUUCUGAGGGUGGCCUUAUGGAGCUUUGGCAAACAAGCAUUUACAUCUUGCCGAAUUCUAGAGUUCUAAGAGGGGCAUAUGGCCUGAAGAACAUAGAUCACCUGCAACUACGUGGCAAAAAAGGACAACUCCAUACCACCUUGCUGAAAAAACAAUGCACAGAUGCACAUCUUAACCUGAACAAGAGCUGCACUUUAUGACUGCUGUUACUGGUAGGAGCUACAUUUCCUUACUCACAUAGACUUAAUGUAGAUAAAGAAUAUUUUACAGUCUGUUUUAAAAUAUUACUUAUGACAUGGUAUACAAUUCCAAUUUUUCUUUGAAGUAAGUUGGGUAAAUUGUUUUCCAGAACCUUUAAGAUGCUUUUAUAGAUAGGAGGAUAAAGCACCCCAUCUCAUUGUGCAGGGUGAAUUUCUUCACAAAGGAAAAGCAAAAGCGACAGGAAGUGAUUGACACCCAAGCAAGACCUCUCCUGGCCACCCAGGAGGAGGCGCACCAGUUCCAAGAGCUAUCCUUCCUGAGCACCGCUGCCUGGAGUUCACAGCUCUGGCGCCUCUGGACUGGGGUUCUAAGUUAGGGCCUGGCCUGGCUACAGAGUCUCAAGGAGUAAACAACUUGAAACGAACGAUUACAUUGUAAAAUAAAAUACAAAGGGCCAUUUCUGAACCCUAUGGAGUCUGUUGGAGCAACACCGGCACUUUUCACAUUUGGGAUUUCAAUGGAGCUGGAGCCAUCACAGAGGGAAAAAGCAAGGGCAAGUUAAAUCUUGGGUUCUCAGGCAGUCAGCCAGUGCCCAGUUCCUGAGACCAUAGCCCACAGUUCUCAGAUGGAGUUUGAGCUGGGAGUGGGGUAAGUCCAUAAGUGGCAGUUCAUUCACAGCCCCUGGCUUCUGUGCCCGACCAAAGCAACACUGUGCUUGGAGGGUUAGAAUUCAACAUUCUCUGCAGGGGCUGAGAGAUGCAAAGUAUGCUGCUAUUACACAACCUCUCUGCCCAGGUUUUGUUUCAGUUUUUUUCUUUUCCUCUUUUGAGACAGGGUCUCAAUAUAUGGUCCACACAGCUUUGACGUCCAAUCUGCUGCCUCAGCCUCCCAAGUGCUGGGAUUAUAGGUGUGUGCUACGACAUCCAGCCAUGUUUUUUUUCUCUAACAUUGUUCUUCUAAACGUGUUUAGGUAUUUUAAUGGCUGUAUGUGAACAUGUUGGUAUGUGUAUUCAAAUUAAAGCUACAGUAAACCAGGUACCUAACUAAGCCAAGGAACCAAGAAGGUAGAGCUGGAGCCCCAGAGCAGUGGUCACUUGUAGGGAAACUGUGCUUGGCUGGAGUAGAGAGCACCCGUGCCUUGGACCCAUGUGGCAGCACCAACCACCCUGGGGAGGGACCUUGCAAAUCAUCCUCCUGUUCUAAACACAUAGAACAUUGGUGAACAUGCGCUGUGGUUUAAUUUCAAGUGUUUGUAACUCGUCUAUGUAGCUGACAUUUGGAGAUUCCAAGAGACCUAUUUACAAGUCAUAUUAACAAGUAAACAGCCAGGAAUGACUGUGAUCAAUCAUCCUGAACAAAUGUUAUGCUUAAAAACUUAUAAAGUUGUUAAACAAUCUUGUUUUAGGCAUCUCUUAUUCAUCUCCAAUUUUAGUGAAUCCGAGUUAGAAACUCCUGAAAACACUUGGCCAACUUGAUCAAUCAGCUGUGUCAGCAAGCAUCCCAGAGAUGGAAGAGACAUUGGGCUCAUGUCAGGAAAAAGAGCUGGGCAGGUUCUUGGCAUGAGUGACGGCCUCUUCGUGACUGUGUCCCACUCAGCAAAGCCAUA